rnacentral:rRNA from 1 species
CCUACGGGAGGCAGCAGUGGGGAAUAUUGGGCAAUGGGCGCAAGCCUGACCCAGCAACGCCGCGUGAAGGAAGAAGGCUUUCGGGUUGUAAACUUCUUUUAUUGAGGACGAAACAAAUGACGGUACUCACUGAAAAAGCCACGGCUAACUACGUGCCAGCAGCCGCGGUAAUACGUAGGUGGCAAGCGUUAUCCGGAUUUACUGGGUGUAAAGGGCGUGUAGGCGGGACUGCAAGUCAGAUGUGAAACCAAUGGGCUCAACCCAUGGACUGCAUUUGAAACUGUAGUUCUUGAGUGAUGUAGAGGUAGGCGGAAUGCGGUGUGUAGCGGUGAAAUGCGUAGAUAUACGGAAGAACACCAGUGGCGAAGGCAGCCUGCUGGACAUUAACUGACGCUGAGGCGCGAAAGCGUGGGGAGCAAACAGGAUUAGAUACUCUUGUAGUC